GAUGAACGCUGGCGGCGUGCCUAAUACAUGCGAGUCGAGCGAACAGACGAGGAGCUUGCUCCUCUGACGUUAGCGGCGGACGGGUGAGUAACACGUGGAUAACCUACCUAUAAGACUGGGAUAACUUCGGGAAACCGGAGCUAAUACCGGAUAAUAUAUUGAACCGCAUGGUUCAAUAGUGAAAGACGGUUUUGCUGUCACUUAUAGAUGGAUCCGCGCCGCAUUAGCUAGUUGGUAAGGUAACGGCUUACCAAGGCAACGAUGCGUAGCCGACCUGAGAGGGUGAUCGGCCACACUGGAACUGAGACACGGUCCAGACUCCUACGGGAGGCAGCAGUAGGGAAUCUGCCGCAAUGGGCGAAAGCCUGACGGAGCAACGCCGCGUGAGUGAUGAAGGUCUUCGGAUCGUAAAACUCUGUUAUUAGGGAAGAACAAAUGUGUAAGUAACUAUGCACGUCUUGACGGUACCUAAUCAGAAAGCCACGGCUAACUACGUG
rnacentral:rRNA from 1 species